rnacentral:rRNA from 1 species
UACGAAGGGUGCAAGCGUUACUCGGAAUUACUGGGCGUAAAGCGUGCGUAGGUGGUUUGUUAAGUCUGUUGUGAAAGCCCCGGGCUCAACCUGGGAAUGGCAAUGGAUACUGGCAGGCUAGAGUGCGGUAGAGGGUAGUGGAAUUCCCGGUGUAGCGGUGAAAUGCGUAGAGAUCGGGAGGAACACCAAUGGCGAAAGCAGCUCGCUGGGACGGUACUGACGCUGAGACGCGAAAGCGUGGGGAGCAAACAGG